ensembl:ncRNA F14D12.7 ncRNA
CGCAUCUGGAGCAUCUGGAGCUGAAGUCUAUCCGCCCCCCGCUCUUCUCGCUCCCAAUUUUGGAACCUAGUUACUCUGAUUCUCUCAACCAAAUCAAAACAUUGUGUUUUUGUGUGCUUUCCUUGAUAAUUCAAGCGUUCUUAACUCU